rnacentral:rRNA from 1 species
UACGAAGGGGGCUAGCGUUGCUCGGAAUCACUGGGCGUAAAGCGCACGUAGGCGGCUUUCUAAGUCAGGGGUGAAAUCCUGGAGCUCAACUCCAGAACUGCCUUUGAUACUGGGGAGCUCGAGUCCGGAAGAGGUGAGUGGAACUCCGAGUGUAGAGGUGAAAUUCGUAGAUAUUCGUAGGAACACCAGUGGCGAAGGCGGCUCACUGGCUCGAUACUGACGCUGAGGUGCGAAAGCGUGGGGAGCAAACAGG